rnacentral:rRNA from 1 species
UUUUUACAAUGGAGAGUUUGAUCCUGGCUCAGGAUGAACGCUAGCGGCAGGCCUAAUACAUGCAAGUCGGACGGGAUUGCGGUGUAGCUUGCUAUACUGCAUGAGAGUGGCGCACGGGUGCGUAACGCGUGAGCAACCUGCCCAUGUCAGGGGGAUAGCCCGUUGAAAGACGGAUUAAGACCGCAUGACACAUAAGUACCGCAUGGUGUUUAUGUCAAAUAUUUAUAGGACAUGGAUGGGCUCGCGUGGCAUUAGCUGGUUGGUAAGGUAACGGCUUACCAAGGCUAUGAUGCCUAGGGGCUCUGAGAGGAGUGACCCCCACACUGGUACUGAGACACGGACCAGACUCCUACGGGAGGCAGCAGUAGGGAAUAUUGGUCAAUGG